AAUGAACGCUGGCGGCAUGCCUUACACAUGCAAGUCGAACGGCGGCAUGACCUAGCUUGCUAGGUUGAUGGCGAGUGGCGAACGGGUGGGUAAUGCAUCGGAACGUGCCUUUUAGUGGGGGAUAACGUAGCGAAAGUUACGCUAAUACCGCAUAUUCUCUGAGGAGGAAAGCAGGGGACCUUCGGGCCUUGCGCUAGAAGAGCGGCCGAUGUCGGAUUAGCUAGUUGGUGGGGUAAAGGCUCACCAAGGCAGCGAUCCGUAGCGGGUCUGAGAGGAUGAUCCGCCACACUGGGACUGAGACAAGGCCCAGACUCCUACGGGAGGCAGCAGUGGGGAAUUUUGGACAAUAGGCGCAAGCCUGAUCCAGCCAUGCCGCGUGAGUGAAGAAGGCCUUCGGGUUGUAGAGCUCUUUCGGCUGGGAAGAAAUCGCACCCUCUCAUACAGGGUGUGGAUGACGGUACCAGCAUAAGAAGCACCGGCUAACUACGUG
rnacentral:rRNA from 1 species